UCCGCAUAAUCGAUUUCAACAAAGCUACGUCUGUAGCAAAUCAGACCUACCUAUACUAGACAAUAGACACUAUUUAAAAUGAUCCACAUAAUCGAUAACAACAAACAGUCGGAACUUCUAACAAAUGAACAAGACUAACAGCUGUAACAACAAGAAAAGGUAAUCAACAAAGAUCGGGUCCCGGCUCCGGACCCAGAGUACCCGCGCUACCUGAGACGAUCACCUGAUCUCGUCUCCCUCAUUUUGGCCACUAGAUGGCCUUUAAUCAGCCCGUGUCGGCUGUCAUGCCCCCUCUUCCCAUCAAUUGAAACUUAGCAGGACAUUUUUUCCCUCAAUAUCCCUUUUACAAUCUAAUGCAAGUGGACAUUUCUUAUAAUUUUGUGCAUAUUCUUAUAAUUAUUGACAAUGUGUAUUAAGUUCAAAAAUGUUAAUUUUUGCCAGGCGACGAAAACACUGCCAAAGUUAUUGCCAGUCAACAAAAAAAAAACAAGGGGAAAGAUACUAAUAUCAGACGCAAUAAUCUUUGGGGCAUUUCCUUCACCGUUCGCACUUUCGGAAAUUUUCUUAAGUGAAACUAUGCAUAAUGUACAGGGGUCUCGAACAUGAGUCUUCGUUUGACUCUGCUUGUAACUCGGGGCGAAGAAGGACGACAUAGAACGGACUCACUCUGAUGAUGUGUGCGCGGUCUCGCCCGUGGCCGCUUCUUGGCCUAUCCUUCUGGAUAGCGUUGGUGACACGUGCGCCGAGGGUAUGGCUGAUGUGCGCCGCUGCGUCGAAACCUGGCCUGGGAGUGACUCUGUUGGUCCUCUCUGGUCCGAGAGCUGAUCCCUUCGUUGCCGGAACACUGGGUCGUUUAUUUUAUUAUUUGUCUUAUUUGAUUUUUUCGUCUCGUCUCGCAUGUAAGAUUUACACACGCAUACAUUUACGAGGCGGGCACCGAUGCAGCCCAUCUGCACAGCUGCACUUUAGGGUCUAUGGCCCAGUUGUACGCCAAGGGCAUGUCAAGGGCACCCGAUCCGCUCUCCUCCUAAUCUCACUAUGAGCGAAUCGGUUGCCCAAUCAUGCUCGCUCAAUGGCAUUACCCUUCUCUGCGCAGUGGAUCGCAAGCCGGGCGUUGCCACUUUUCAAUUAAUUUGGCGCCACUGUGUGCCCGGUUUCACCCCCGCUACUCUGCUCAUACGACAAAAAGAUAAUGGCGUGGCCGAUAAUAAAGAACGCAUCCAACUAGGUAAACUAUCGAUGCUGCCAAUUAUAUCAAAUGCAAUAACCAAAUUUCGAUACGACAACAAUUUCACAACAAGAACAACUCUAUAACGAAGGACAUACAUUAGAAAUGUUACAAAUAAUAAACACACACAAAUAAUAAACAACAGACGACUAAACUAUAAAACAGACACCGAAAACUGCGCUGACUUAUACAGACAUCUAUUGAACUGCCAAAUACGUGUAAAACAAUGUAUGUUUUAUAAAUUGUUUAAAUAAAUGUUUAAUUUUAUUUAAUGUAUCCUAAUGUUAAUUGUUUUUGUGUUAGUGCCCUGAAGACGGUUACCGAAGUGCAGCCGUAAUAUAUAGGUUAUAUUCAAACAAAAUUGCGUUUUCAUUUUGUGUUGAAUAAAAAAGCCUCGUACCUCGAGCCAGCCAAACAAAUAAUUAUAAAAUUGUAAUAUAAUGUUGUAUUUGGCGACCUUUCCAUUCUUUUUUAUCCAUGACAAAAUGAAAAUGCAAAUUGUUUGAAAUUUAACCAAUAUAUUCCGGCUGCACUUCGGCAACCGUCUUCAGGGCAAUUGUUUUACACGUCUGCGCUCUUUGACGUGGAGGUUCAGACAAUUAUAAAAUUGUAAUAUAUGUUAAAAAAUUCAAAAAGUAUUUAUUUAAAUUUUUAAUUAUAAGAAAUUAUUAUACUUAAUUUAAUUUUAAUUUAAUAUAACUUAAUUAAUUUCAAUUAAUUUUUUUAAAUAAUAAUUCCAUACAAGAUUACGUUUUUAUUGUUAUUAAAAUUGUAUAGUUUGUAAAUGCCUAGGACAAAAAGUUGUCAUUUAUUAAUAGGUCUCAGAGACAACGAGCAAGAAAUCAGUUAAAUAGGUCUAAUUUGGAAUAUGCUGAACAGGAGAGGAUAAACAAGAUAGAGUCUCAACGAGAGCGUAGAGAAAGUGAAGAUUUUAACCAAACUGAGAGAAAGAGGAAUAGACAACGAAGCCAAGUUCACUGACAAGACCUAGUUUACAGGGUGAAUUAACAAAGACAAAAUACUGUAGAUCACUCGACUCGAGUUAGGCAACUCCAGUUAGGCAACUGCAAUAAUUGGGUGAUACUUCGCGACUAUUGAGACGCAGACUAGACCUAGUUUAUGGGGCAAACGAACAGAGACAAAAUACUGAAGACAACAGGAGCAAUUGGCGAGCUUAUGGGGCAAACAAACAAGGACAAGACAAUAUUCGGCGAGAACGCGAUCGACAAAACUUACAAUGACGACUUUUAGAUAGAGCUAGGGAUAGAAAUCAAAGGUCACAGGUUAGAGAAAACUCAAUUCGUAGAAUAAAUGAGCAAGCAUGUAAUACAAGUGCAAGGCGAAGUGCUCGAAUUCAAGCAUGACAGGACGCUUUUGACGCAAAUAGAAAUUUGUCUCAGCGAUUUAACCAGUUAAAAUGUAAUAUGCGCAAUACCAAGAACAGUGAAGAACGUGCAAAUAGUUUUACAGAGAAUAGAAUUUCUCCAGCUAUUAGGAAUAACUUAGAUUAUCUGAUAGCUGCAUUUAAUAAAAAAGGAAGCGCAGAUAUUUUAUUUCUAUCCUCUAUAUUUUCUUUUGUCAAUAAUAAAUAAAGUUUUUGCAAAA